rnacentral:rRNA from 1 species
UACGGGGGGGGCAAGCGUUGUUCGGAAUUACUGGGCGUAAAGGGCUCGUAGGUGGCCAACUAAGUCGGACGUGAAAUCCCUCAGCUUAACUGGGGAACUGCGUCCGAUACUGGAUGGCUUGAGUUUGGGAGAGGGAUGCGGUAAUUCAGGUGUAGCGGUGAAAUGUGUAGAUAUCUGGAGGAACACCGGUGGCGAAAGGCGACAUCCUGGACCGGUAUUGACGCUGAGGCGCGAAAGCCAGGGGAGCAAACGGG